ensembl:lncRNA
GUAAGAGACACGAGGAGAGUGCAGUUUUGUACACUUUGGCCUUGUCCUCGCAGGAGCAGUGACCCUGAGGAUGUGGUCAAGUUAAUCAAUUACACAUUUAAAGACACAAACUAAGGGAGAAUAGAUUCUUUGGCUCACAGACAACUUUUCAGUUCAUGGAUUGGGAUUAUCCAUAUUUGGAGAAAAAUCACACCAGUCUGUUGCAUAAUUCAAAUCAUGAGACUCACCUGUCAAGAAUGCUCAGUGAUCUUCACACUGGUCAGCCUGGUGGGUGCUCUAUCACAAUCGUUUGGUAAGUUCAAAUCCAUUU